UACAGAGGGUGCGAGCGUUAAUCGGAAUUACUGGGCGUAAAGCGCACGUAGAUGGCUUCGUAAGUCGGAUGUGAAAUCCCCGGGCUCAACCUGGGAACUGCAUUCGAAACUGCGUUGCUGGAAUGUGGAAGAGGGAAGCGGAAUUCCAGGUGUAGCGGUGAAAUGCGUAGAUAUCUGGAGGAACAUCAGUGGCGAAAGCGGCUUCCUGGUCCAACAUUGACAUUCAGGUGCGAAAGCGUGGGGAGCAAACAGG
rnacentral:rRNA from 1 species